AUUGAACGCUGGCGGCAGGCUUAACACAUGCAAGUCGAGCGAGCGGCGGACGGGUGAGUAAUGUCUGGGAAACUGCCUGAUGGAGGGGGAUAACUACUGGAAACGGUAGCUAAUACCGCCUACCACCAGAUGUGCCCAGAUGGGAUUAGCUAGUAGGUGGGGUAAUGGCUCACCUAGGCGACGAUCCCUAGCUGGUAUGAGAGGAUGACAAGCAACUCGGGAAAGAGGACACGGUCAAGACUCCUAAGGGAGGCAGCAGUGGGGAAUAUUGCACAAGGGGCGCAAGGCUGAUGAAGCCAGGCGGCGUGUGUGAAGAAGGCCUUCGGGUUGGAAAGCACUUUCAGCGAGGAGGCGUUACUCGCAGAAGAAGCACCGGCUAACUCCGGGCCAGCAGCCGCGGUAAUAC
rnacentral:rRNA from 1 species